rnacentral:lncRNA from 10 species
GCCGGGCUAGCGGGCUACUGGGCUGCGGAGACCAGAGCCCGGCUCCACUGAAGAAACCCGCCGGCUGCUGGGGCAGGGCGGCGAAAGGUCAGUCGGCCGAGAGGAGUCCGUGGAGCCACCGUUUCAUAGCCUCAGGGAAAGGAUCGGGCGUGCUCACGAGCCCUCUAACCCAUGGCUUAAACACCCGCUUCCUAAGCCUGGGUUCUUAUGCCUUUGUUUGAAAAACAUGGUUCCCUGUGAAAUUUUACAUGUAGAAGAAAGCUUCACACUACGAGAGCUCUCAGGAUAUAAUUAUUUCAGACAGAUACUGGGAACAUAAGAUGGCUUAUCAAUCUAAGAUGGCCUUCCUGUCCUUCGGAUUGAACUGAAACCAUCCCUGAUUCCAGGGAUAGGUAGAUGAUCCAGGUUUGGACAAUCAAAAUAUUGAACCACCCUGGACCUACAAGUGUUUCUGGGAUGGGAACAUGCAAACGUUGGUCCAAAUUGUUGUUCUAGGCAGCCCAGUACAUUUCUCCAAUGCCUGCCUCUCAAGCACUGUGAAAAAUCACUUUCUCUUGUUGUAUUCUUGGAGCCCCUGCUAAUUCAUUAUUGAAAAAUACCUGCUGCCUGCAUUUGGCCUUAUGUUGUCAUUUACUUGGUACUUCCUAAGCGUGGCUACUCCAAUGAAGCUUUAGUAUAUGUACUGAAAGAAGAUCCUCUCAUACUGCCACAGCCAAGAGAUAAGGUUGUAAAUCUUUAUUGGGAGAAGCCGUCAAGGACAGUUCUGUGAAAUGAAAGGAUCUCUGGAUCACCACAAAGUCUGGCUCAGUGACUAUGGCUUUGCAAACACUAAACAUUCCUGUCUCAAGUCCUGUAGAUGGCUUGAAAUAGUAUACAUAAGCAUGCCUUAUAAACAUCUUCAGUCUUUAUCAACUCUUUGGAGAUUCAGCCAUUCUUUUUUGUACUUUAGGGAAUUAAAUCAUUUUAUAAUGUAUAAAUCUGAGCAUGGCCGAUGGCAGAAGAAAUUUUGUCAUACGUUUUUAAAGAAAUAAAAAUGUAUUAUGUUUUAAAAUUCCUUUAACUGUUUUUCUUACAAAAU